rnacentral:tRNA from 2 species
GCCCCCGUAGCUCAAUCGGAUAGAGCAGCGGCCUUCUAAGCCGUUGGUUGGGGGUUCGAGUCCUCCCGGGGGCACCA